UACGUAGGGUGCGAGCGUUAAUCGGAAUUACUGGGCGUAAAGCGUGCGCAGGCGGUGAUGUAAGACAGGUGUGAAAUCCCCGGGCUUAACCUGGGAACUGCAUUUGUGACUGCAUCGCUGGAGUGCGGCAGAGGGGGAUGGAAUUCCGCGUGUAGCAGUGAAAUGCGUAGAUAUCGGAAGGAACAUCAGUGGCGAAAGCGGCUUCCUGGACCAGUACCGACGUUCAGGCACGAAAGCGUGGGGAGCAAACAGG
rnacentral:rRNA from 1 species